GCCUAGUGUUUCACCUAUCGCUGUGCCAGAGCAGAGUCCCACUGUAGCCCCUUCCUUCCUCCAGUCACCGCCGGGAUGACUCAAGUCCUAUCACGGGCACCAGCUCACCCGGCUGUACCCUUGAAUCAUCUUUUCUUGUCGUGGGCCCUGCUGGUGUUGCAGACAAAGUGUCAUGGAGCCUUGUCUGGAUGUUUCCUUCUCCCUGUGGUAGCUUGGUCAGUUCUCAGUUGCCAUCACCCGUGUAUGGUCUAAUCUUCUCUCUGAAGUUAGUUAAGAGGAACACAAAAUACCUGCCAGCACUCUCCUUUAAAUAAAAAUAUAUCGGGUGACAGAAGCAUUACUUUAUAUUAACAUACUGUAGAAGAAGGAAUACAAUGUUAAAAUUAUUUGUUAUGUAUAUAACCAAACACGGGAGGAGGAUACGGAACCAAACCACAGAAUUGGAAACACCACUCUUUAUCUUUUCAGAGCAAAGUAUACUGCUUUAAGAAAAACUCAAGGGGACUUCUUUUUUGUUAUA